CUGACGCUCAUGCACGAAAGCGUGGGUAUCGAACAGGAUUAGAUACCCUGGUAGUCCACGCGGUAAACGAUGAUAACUAGUUAUCCGGCCAGAUUGAUGGUUGGGUGACCGAGCGAAAGCGUUAAGUUAUCCACCUGGGGAGUACGCCGGCAACGGUGAAACUCAAAGGAAUUGACGGGGGCCCGCACAAGCGGAGGAACAUGUGGUUUAAUUCGAUGAUACGCGAGGAACCUUACCCGGGCUCAAACGCAAGGCGCUACAUCCUGAAAGGGGUGGUUCUUCGGACGUCUUGCGAGGUGCUGCAUGGUUGUCGUCAGCUCGUGCCGUGAGGUGUCGGCUUAAGUGCCAUAACGAGCGCAACCCCCAUCUUCAGUUGCCAUCGGGUCAGGCCGGGCACUCUGGAGAGACUGCCGGCGCAAGCUGUGAGGAAGGCGGGGAUGACGUCAAAUCAGCACGGCCCUUACGUCCGGGGCGACACACGUGUUACAAUGGCGGGGUGACAGCGGGAAGCCAGGCGGCGACGCCGAGCCGAUCCCGAAAACCCGUCUCAGUUCGGAUCGGAGUCUGCAACCCGACUCCGUGAAGCUGGAUUCGCUAGUA
rnacentral:rRNA from 1 species